rnacentral:rRNA from 1 species
UCCGGUUGAUCCUGCCGGACCCCACUGCUAUCGGGAUAGGACUAAGACAUGCUAGUCGAGUGACUCAGGCAAAACGAGUCACGGCGCACAGCUCAGUAACACGUGGCUAAUCUGCCCUUGGGACUAGAACAACCCCGGGAAACUGGGGCUAACUCUAGAUAGGUGGAGAACUCUGGAAUGAGUCUUUGCCUAAAUAGGUUCACGUUAUCCUCGUGAACUUGCCCAAGGAUGAGGCCGCGGCCGAUCAGGUUGUUGGCGAGGUAAUGGCUCACCAAGCCUUUUACCGGUGCGGGCCGUGAGAGCGGGAGCCCGGAGAUGGGCACUGAGACAAGGGCCCAGGCCCUACGGGGCGCAGCAGUCGCGAAAACUUUGCAAUACACGAAAGUGUGACAGGGCUAUCCCGAGUGCCAUCCGCUGAGGAAGGCUUUUACCCAGUCUAGAACGCUGGGGGAAUAAGGAGAGGGCAAGUCUGGUGUCAGCCGCCGCGGUAAUACCAGCUCUCCGAGUGGUGUGGAUGUUUAUUGGGCCUAAAGCAUCCGUAGCUGGCUGAGUUAGUCCCUUGUUAAAUCCACCGAAUUAAUCGUUGGAUUGCGGGGGAUACUGCUCGGCUAGGGGACGAGAGAGGCAGACGGUAUUUCCGGGGUAGGGGUGAAAUCCUAUAAUCCCGGGAAGACCACCAGUGGCGAAGGCUGUCUGCUAGAACGCGCCCGACGGUGAGGGAUGAAAGCUGGGGGAGCGAACCGGAUUAGAUACCCGGGUAGUCCCAGCUGUAAACGAUGCAGGCUAGUGUUUGGACGGCCACGUGCCGUUCUAGUGCCGCAGGGAAGCUGUUAAGCCUGCCGCCUGGGGAGUACGAUCGCAAGAUUGAAACUUAAAGGAAU